ensembl:snRNA U6 U6 spliceosomal RNA
GUGUUCACUUCAGCAGCAUGCAUACUUAAAGAGAAACAAUACAGAGAAUAUUAGCAUGAUCCCUAUGCAAGCGUGACACACAAAUUUAUGUAGCAUUCAAUAUUAUU